AAAAAAAGCCGAACACAAUUUUGAAACUGACGUCUUUAGCUAUGUCCUGUGAAAAUUUGAGAAAAAUUCGUUAAAACCCGCAGGAGCACAACUCGCUUGAAAAUCAGUAAUUGCCGUAAAAUUCUUCGGGAGAAAAUUGAAUUUGAAUAUUACAUUUUCAAUGUUUUUCUUAUUGCAAGCGAAAUGUAUUUUAUUAAAUAACUCUGCGAGUUUUCAACAUUUUUCGUCCAAACUUGGUCAGAUAGUAGAAC